GCCUGCUCGAAAGUCACGGCCAUCCUCUUCACAGCGGGACCGUCCUGGAGGAGAGGAAAGAGGGGGCACAGGAAAGCGCUGCAGCCGUCCCCAGGGGCUGUCACAGCAACGGCGGGCCCAAGACCCUGCUCCCCACCAGUGAAGGCUCUGCAGGCCAGGCCCCAGUGCUGGAGACUUCACAGCACCCUCCUCACAAACUGUUCCAUGCAAAAGGAGGAGUGUUGCCUUCCAUGAAACAGGAACGUCCCUUACUGCAAUCCUCUGUCCUUUCACUGUGCACGUCUGGCAAAAAAUCUGCUCCCGUCUCCCACUGGUGCGCUCCUUCAGCCAUCUCCAGACUGACCAGGCCCAGUUUCCUCAGCUUAGUUCAAACAUUGUAAUGCUUCAACUGAGCUGAAUGGUUUGUGCAUGUAAUUUUAACUUGGCUUGAUUCUCAGGGAAUAGACACAGACUGGGAUAAAUAAAUAAAUAAGUAAAUGUACCUCGAGAAGGAGAUAUGCUAGAACAUCUUUUGCACUGAAAAAUAAAAUUUUUAAACUGUAAUAUUUAGA